rnacentral:rRNA from 1 species
UACGUAGGUGGCAAGCGUUGUCCGGAUUUAUUGGGUUUAAAGGGUGCGUAGGCGGCCCUGUAAGUCAGUGGUGAAAUACUCCAGCUUAACUGGAGGGGUGCCAUUGAUACUGGGAGUCUUGAGUUCGGGAGAGGUGAGUGGAACUGCGAGUGUAGAGGUGAAAUUCGUAGAUAUUCGCAAGAACACCAGUGGCGAAGGCGGCUCACUGGCCCGAUACUGACGCUGAGGUGCGAAAGCGUGGGGAGCAAACAGG